UACGUAGGUGACAAGCGUUAUCCGGAUUUAUUGGGCGUAAAGCGCGCGCAGGCGGUUAUUUAAGUCUGGUGUUUAAUCCUGGGGCUCAACCCCAGUUCGCAUCGGAAACUGGAUGACUUGAGUGUAGGAGAGGAAAGUGGAAUUCCACGUGUAGCGGUGAAAUGCGUAGAGAUGUGGAGGAACACCAGUGGCGAAGGCGACUUUCUGGCCUAUAACUGACGCUGAGGCGCGAAAGCGUGGGGAGCAAACAGG
rnacentral:rRNA from 1 species